rnacentral:rRNA from 1 species
UACGAAGGGGGCUAGCGUUGCUCGGAUUGACUGGGCGUAAAGGGCGCGUAGGCGGUUCGUACAGUCAGACGUGAAAUUCCUGGGCUCAACCUGGGGGCUGCGUUUGAUACGUGCGGACUUGAGUGCGGAAGAGGGUCGUGGAAUUCCCAGUGUAGAGGUGAAAUUCGUAGAUAUUGGGAAGAACACCGGUGGCGAAGGCGGCGACCUGGUCCAACACUGACACUGAGGUGCGAAAGCGUGGGGAGCAAACAGG